AGAAUGUGCAGGCCAAGGCUCAGGGAGCUGCUGAUGCAGUCAAGAAUGCCACUGGCAUGAACAAAUGAAGCUGCUCAUGAUGAUAAUCAUUUUCAUGACUUUUAAUGACUUUAUAGAUGAUAAAACUUUGAUUGAGUUUUUUUUUGGGUCGAACUUUGAUUUUUAUAGACUUUUAUGUAAUUUGUUUUUCUUUCUUACCUUCCGUUUCGAUGAAAGAAUUGAAAAUUGCAUAGAAUUCUAAAAUAACAGAAUUUAGAUUCCAAUCGGUUUAAUUUAUGUCAAUUAAUAAUUUCGGUGUUCGAAUUUAUGUAUGUCGAAUUUUGCAAAUAACAGAAAUUUCAGGGAAAAUAAAUUUCUUCCACUCAAUAGAAAUAGUGAAACGUCUCUUUUGGUUGAAAUUAAACUCGAAAAUUUUGAGUGCUUAAGUUUCGUACUUAAGUUGCCAAACAAUGGAAAUAUCAAAUCAUACUAUUCAAUUCCUGACUUUUAGCUAAACUCCGAGUUAUUUUCGUCCAUCUAAAUAGAGGGUAAUAGAGUAGUAUGAUUAGAAGGUAUGUAGUAUGACCCAAAGAAAACGACUUCUAAAUAGUAUCGUUUGAUCAUGAUGAAUUAAGUCAUGAGAUCUAUAUAACCAAAAUAAUUAUUCACGUAGAGAUUGAUGAAAAUCAAUUAUGAAAAUGCCAAAGUAAUUGCAUUGUUUCUUCUAACAAAGAUAACAUGGUCUCUUUGUUGUUCUAGUGGACUUCAUAAAUAAAUUCUAAUCAUGGCAGUGUUUAUUCAAACUAGUAACAUAUCUAUUAUAACCAAAAGUGUUGAGAUCCAAGUAUCACCUUUCCCCUAAGGUCUUUAAAGGCAGUUAAAUUAAAACAUGUAAAGAUCGCCUGACCAACAUCCAACCAAAAAAAAAAAAAAAAGUGCAGUACCUCUCUUGUAUCUCGCAAAAGAAAAAAAGAAGAUAGAAAUGAUGUGAAUGAACUUGGGGUAACUUUCAAGUAGAAAAACUCAUAUAGAGCUGGUGUAUGCAUUAUUUUUCUUGUAAUAAGUGGUCACAUAACUAAGCACGUGAAAGAAAGUAGUGUGCAUGAAAGAGCUGGUAUAUGCACUAUUUUUAUUGUUAUAAGUGGUCACAUAACUAAGCACAUGAAAGAAUAUAACAUGCAUGAUGAUGUAUAAAAUUUGUUACACGUAAAAGGCACUUGUCAAAAAAACUGAAGGACAAUAUCGCUUUUAACUCAUGUCGAGGAUAACCCAACAAGUUUAUAGAAUUUACUCAUAAGAUGUUCUGGCCUUUCAAUUAAAUAACAAUAUCUUAUGGAAUAUGGCAUAGUCUUGUGAAUUGUAAUUAAUUGAUAAUAUAAUCUAAUAUUACAAGACUCAACAUAUAUAACUGUCUCAAAACCCUCAGAAUAGCAAUUGCCGACAUGAAGAUAAGACUCAACAGCGUUCCUAGUCAAAAGGCUCACCCCAAGUUAUAGGGCGACACGUGUUAUAUAUGGUGCAAAACCAUGACCAGGAUGAAAUGUGUGCAUGGCAUCACACGUGUUGAGCAUUCAGCUGGUCCAAAAUCCUAUAUAUACCCUACCCAAUUGUGAGAUAUUCAUCAUUAGCAAAUCAAAUUUGAGUUAUAACAACUUUAUCUGAAUUUCAAGUGUUUUCAAGAAAACAAAGCAAGAAGAAAAUGGCUGACAACUCUCAGAAGAUGAGCUACCACGCUGGAGAGGCCAAGGGCCAAGCUCAGGUAAUUAGCUCACCUGUAAAUUAUAAUUCUCCAUUUGUUUUUGCUUCUUUCUUAUGUUUUCCUUUAGAUUGAUGGGGAUGUUUUGUAUUGGAUAAUUUUGGAUUUAACAGGAGAAGGCCAGUGGGAUGAUGGAUAAGGCUAACGAUGCAGCCCAAUCUACCAAGGAGACAAUGCAAGAUGUUGGUCAGAAUGUGCAGGCGAAGGCUCAAGGUGCUGCUGAUGCAGUAAAGAAUGCCACUGGCAUGAACAAAUGAAGUUGCUCAUGAUGAUCAUUUUCAUAACUUUUAAUGAAUUUAUAGGGUUAAGAUGAUGGCAAACUUUCAUUGAGUUUUAUAGACUUUUAUGUAAUUUUUUUUUCUUUCUUAUCCUUCUUUUGAAAGAAGGAAUUGAAAAUUGCAUAGAAUUCUAAAAUGAUGGAAUUUAGAUCUCCAUCAUUUUAAGUUACGGAAAUUAAUAAUUUCAGUGUUUGGAUUUAUGUAUGUCGAAUUUUGCAAAUGAAAUUUCAAGGAAAAACAAAUUCCUUCACUCAAUAGAAAUUGUGAAUGAUGUCUCUUUUGAUUGAAAUUAAACUCGAAAAUCUUGAGUGCUUAACUUUCGUGCUAAAGUAGCCAAACAAUGAAAAAAAUUAAAUUCUACGCUUCAAUUCUUAACUUUUAGCUAAAUAAUUAACGUACGGUAAUAGCAGUAUGUAGUAUGACCAAAAGAAAACGAAUUCUAAUAUUAUCUUUUGAUCAUGAUGAAUUAACUCAUGAGAUCUAUAUAAACAAAAUAAUUAUUCAUGUAGAGAUUUGAUGAAUAUCAAUUAUGAAUUCGUUGGGUUAGAGACUUUUUCACCUCAGAUUUCUAAAGGUCUCAUUCUGGGCCUGGGUGCCUUAGGGCUUUUUGAAAUAUCCACCAGUUGACCAAACACAUUAAAAUACACUCAAGUCAAGAGAACCAAACUAACACAAAAAUACAGAAUGUAAAUGAACUUGGGGUAACUAUCAAGUAGAAAUUUUUUUAUAGAGCUAGUGUAUGCAUUAUUUUCCUCGUAAUAAGUGUUCACAUAACUAAGCACGUGAAAGAAUGUAGCGUGCAUGAAAGAGCUGGUGUAUGCAUUAUUUUUCUUACAAUAAGUGGUCACAUAACUAAGCACGUGAAAGAAUAUAGCAUGCAUGAUGAUGUCUAAAACUCGUUACACGUAAGAUUUUUUGAGGUUAAAGAUAAAAUGAACACUUGUUCAGAAACUGAAGGACAAUAUUGCUUUUAACUCAUGUGGAGGAUAACCCAACAAGUUUAUUGGCAUUUACACAUAAGAUGUUCUGGCCUUUCAAUCAAAUAAUAAUAUCUUGUGGAUUAUGGAACAGUCUUGUGAAUUGUAAUUAAUUGUUAAUAUAAUUCAAUAUUACGAGAAUUUCAUAAUGCUAAAAAAAAGUAAUUUCCAUUCACAAAACUGUCCAAGAAACACUCAGAAUAACAACUUUUAAGACUCAACAGCCUUCCUGGUCAAACGGCUCACCCUAAAUUAUAGGGCGACACGUGUUAUGGUCCAAAACCAUGACUAGGAUGAAAUGUGUGCAUGACAUCACACAUGUCGAGCAUUCAGUUGGUCUAAAAUCGUAUAUAAACCAUACCCAAUUGUGAGAUAUUCAUCAUCAGCAAAUCAAAUUUGAGUUAUAACAACUUCAUUUGAAUUUCAAGUGUUUUCAAGAAAACAAAGCAAGAAGAAAAUGGCUGACAACUCUCAGAAGAUGAGCUACCACGCUGGAGAGGCCAAGGGCCAAGCUCAGGUAAUUAGCUCACCUGUAAAUUGUAAUUCUCCAUUUGUUUUUGCUUCUUUCUUCUGUUUUCUUUUAGAUUGAUGUGGGAUUUUUUGUAUUGGAUAAUUUUGGAUUUAACAGGAAAAGGCCAGUGGGAUGAUGGAUAAGGCUAACAAUGCAGCCCAGUCUACCAAGGAGACAAUGCAAGAUGUUGGUCAGAAUGUGCAGGCGAAGGCUCAAGGAGCUGCUGAUGCAGUCAAGAAUGCCACUGGCAUGAACAAAUGAAGCUGCUCAUGAUGAUAAUCAUUUUCAUGACUUUUAAUGACUUUAUAGAGUUAAGAUGAUGGCAAACUUUCAUUUAGUUUUAUAGACUUUUAUGUCUUUCUUUUUUUUUCUUUUUUUUUUCUUUUUUUUUUCUUUCUUACCCUUCUUUUGAAAGAAGGAAUUGAAAAUUGCAUAGAAUUCUAAAAUGAUGGAAUUUAGAUCUUCAUCAUUUUCAGUUAUGGCAAUUAAUAAUUUUAGGGUUCGAAUUUAUGUAUAUCGAAUUUUGCAAAUGAAAUUUCAGGGAAAAACGAAUUCCUUCACUCAAUAGAAAUUGUGAAAUGAUGUCUGCUUUGAAUGAAAUUAAACUCAGAAAUAUUGAGUGCUUAACUUUCGUGCUAAAGUAGCCAAACAAUGAAAAUAUCAAAUUCAACACUUCAAUUCCUAACUUUUAGGUAAAUAAUUAACAUAGGGUAAUAACAGUAUGUAGUAUGACCAAAAGAAAACGAAUUCUAAUAUUAUCUUUUGAUCAUGAUGAAUUAACUCAUGAGAUCUAUAUAACCAAGAUAAUUAUUCAUGUAGAGAUUGAUGAAUAUCAAUUAUGAAUUCGUUGGGUUUGAGACUAUUUCAUCUCUUAUUUCUAAAGGUCUCAUUCUAGGCCUGGGUACCUUAGAGCUUUUUGAAAUAUCCACCAGUUGACCAAACACAUUAAAAUGCACUCAAGUCAAGAAACAAGACUCCACAAAUCAGAAACACAAGAGAACCAAACUAACACAAAAAUACAGAAUGUGAAGGAACUUGGGGUAACUAUCAAGUAGAAAAAUUUCUAUAGAGCUGAUGUAUGCCUUAUUUUCCUCGUAAUAAGUAUUCACAUAACUAAGCACAUGAAAGAAUAUAGCGUGCAUGAAAGAGCUAGUGUAUGCAUUAUUUUUCUCAUAAUAAAUGGUCACAUAACCAAGCACAGGAAAGAAUAUAGUGUGCAUGAUGAUGUAUAAAACUCGUUACAAGUAAGAUUUUUUGUGUUAAAGACAAAAUGCACAAUUUCCUAGAAACUGAAGGAUAAUAUCACUUUUAACUCAUGUGGAGGAUAACCCAACAAGUUUAUUAGCAUUUACUCAUAAGAUGUUCUGGCCAUUCAAUCAAAUAAAAAUAUCUCGUGGAUUGUGGAAUAGUCUUGUGAAUUGUAAUUAAUUGAUAAUAUAACCCAAUAUUACAAGAAUUCCAUAAUGCUGAAAAAAGUAAUUUCCAUUCACAAAACUGUUUAAGAAACCCUCAGAAUAGCAACUUUUAAGACUCAACAGCCUUCCUGGUCAAAAGGCUCACCCUAAGUUAUUGGGCGACACGUGUUAUGGUCCAAAACUAUGACCAGGAUGAAAUGUGUGCAUGACAUCACACAUGUCGAGCAUUCAGCUGGUCUAAAAUCGUAUAUAAACCAUACCCAAUUGUGAGAGAUUCAUCAUCAGCCAAUCGAAUUUGAGUUAUAACAACUUCAUCUAAAUUUCAAGUGUUUUCAAGAAAACAAAGCAAGAAGAAAAUGGCUGACAACUCUCAAAAGAUGAGCUACCAUGUUGGAGAGGCCAAGGGCCAAGCUCAGGUAAUUAGUUCACCUGUAAAUUGUAAUUCUCCAUUUGUUUUUGCUUCUUUCUUCUUUUUUCUUUUAGAUUAAAGUGGGAUGUUUUGUAUUGGAUAAUUUUGGAUUUAACAGGAGAAGGCCGGUGGGAUGAUGGAUAAGGCUAACAAUGCAGCCCAAUCUACCAAGGAGACAAUGCAAGAUGUUGGUCAGAAUGUGCAGGCGAAGGCUCAAGGAGCUGCUGAUGCAGUCAAGAAUGCCACUGGCAUGAACAAAUGAAGCUGCUCAUGAUGAUCAUUUUCAUGACUUUUAAUGACUUUAUAGAGUUAAGAUGAUGGCAAACUUUCAUUUAGUUUUAUAGACUUUUAUGUCUAUUUUUUUUUUUCUGUCUUACCCUUCUUUUGAAAGAAGGAAUUGAAAAUUGCAUAGAAUUAUAAAAUAAUGGAAUUUAGAUCUUCAUCAUUUUAAGUUAUGGCAAUUAAUAAUUUCAGGGUUCAAAUUUAUGUAUAUCGAAUUUUGCAAAUGAAAAAUGAAAUUUCAGGAUUAAAAGAAUUCCUUCACUCAAUAGUGAAAUGAUGUCUCUUUUGAAUGAAAUUAAACCCAGAAAUCUUGAGUGCUUGACUUUUGUGCUAAAAUAGCCAAACAGUGAAAAUAUUAAAUUCUACUCUUCAAUUCUUUACUUUUAGCUAAAUAAUUAACGUAGGGUAAUAGCAGUAUGUAGUAUGACCAAAAGAAAACGAAUUCUAAUAUUAUCUUUUGAUCAUGAUGAAUUAACUCAUGAGAUCUAUAUAACCAAAAUAAUUAUUCAUGUAGAGAUUGAUGAAUAUCAAUUAUGAAUUCGUUGGGUUGAAUAUCAAUUAUGAAUUCGUUGGGUUAGAGACUUUUUCACCUCAGAUUUCUAAAGGUCUCAUUCUGGGCCUUGGUGCCUUAGGGAUUUUUGAAAUAUCCACCAGUUGACCAAACACAUUAAAAUACACUCAAGUCAAGAGAACCAAACUAACACAAAAAUACAGAAUGUGAAUGAACUUGGGGUAACUAUCAAGUAGAAAAAUUUAUAUAGAGCUAGUGUAUGCAGUAUUUUCCUCGUAAUAAGUGUUCACAUAACUAAGCACAUGAAAGAAUGUAGCGUGCAUGAAAGAGCUAGUGUAUGCAUUAUUUUUCUCAUAAUAAGUGGUCACAUAACUAAGCACAGGAAAGAAUAUAGCGUGUAUGAUGAUGUAUAAAACUCGUUACACAUAAGAUUUUUUGCGGUUAAAGACAAAAUGCACACUUGCCCAUAAACUGAAGGAUAAUAUCGCUUUUUAACUCAUGUGGAGGAUAACCCAACAAGUUUAUUAGCAUUUACUCAUAAGAUGUUCUGGCCUUUCAAUCAAAUAAAAAUAUCUCGUGGAUUGUGGAACAGUCUUGUGAAUUGUAAUUAAUUGAUAAUAUAAUCCAAUAUUACAAGAAUUCCAUAAUGCUGAAAAAAGUAAUUUCCAUUCACAAAACUAUAUAAGAAACCCUCAGAAUAGCAACUUUUAAGACUCAACAGCCUUCCUGGUCAAAAGGCUCACCCUAAGUUAUUGGCGACACGUGUUAUGGUCCAAAACCAUGACCAGGAUGAAAUGUGUGCAUGACAUCACACAUGUCGAGCAUUCAGCGGGUCUAAAAUCGUAUAUAAACCAUACCUAACCGUGAGAGAUUCAUCAUCAUCCAAUCAAAUUUGAGUUAUAACAACUUCAUCUGAUUUCCAAGUGUUUUCAAGAAAACAAAGCAAGAAGAAAAUGGCUGACAACUCUCAAAAGAUGAGCUACCAUGCUGGAGAGGCCAAGGGCCAAGCUCAGGUAAUUAGCUCACCUGUAAAUUGUAAUUCUCCAUUUAUUUUUGCUUCUUUCUUUGGUUUUCUUUUAUAUUAAAUUGGGAUGUUUUGUAUUGGAUAAUUUUGGAUUUAAUAGGAGAAGGCCAGUGGGAUGAUGGAUAAGGCUAACAAUGCAGCCCAGUCUACCAAGGAGACAAUGCAAGAUGUUGGUCAGAAUGUGCAGGCGAAGGCUCAAGGAGCUGCUGAUGCAGUCAAGAAUGCCACUGGCAUGAACAAAUGAAGCUGCUCAUGAUGAUCAUUUUCAUGACUUUUAAUGACUUUAUAGAGUUAAGAUGAUGGCAAACUUUCAUUGAGUUUUAUAGACUUUUAUGUAAUUUUUUCUUUCUUUCUUACCCUUCUUUUGAAAGAAUGAAUUGAAAAUUUCAUAGAAUUCUAAAAUGAUGGAAUUUAGAUCUCCAUCAUUUUAAGUUACGACAAUUAAUAUAAUUUCAGUGUUCGGAUUUAUGUAUAUCGAAUUUUACAAUUGAAAUUUCAGGGAAAAACGAAUUCCUUCACUCAAUAGAAAUUAUGAAAUGACUUCUCUUUUGAUUGAAAUUAAACUCAGAAAUCUUGAGUGCUUAACGUUCGUGCCAAAGUAGCCAAACAAUGGAAAUAUUAAAUUCUACUCUUCAAUUCUUAACUUUUAGCUAAAUAAUUAACGUAGGGGAAUAGCAGUAUGUAGUAUGACCACAAGAAAACAGAUUCUAAUAUUAUCUUUUGAUCAUGUUGAAUUAACUCAUGAGAUCUAUAUAACCAAACUAAUUAUUCAUGUAGAGAUUGAAGAAUAUCAAUUAUGAAUUCGUUGGGUUUGAGACUUUUUCAUCUCUGAUUUCUAAAGGUCUCAUUCUGAGCAUGGGUGCCUUAGAGCUUUUUGAAAUAUCCACCAGUUGACCAAAGACAUUAAAAUGCACUCAAGUCAAGAAACAAGACUCCAGAAAUCAGAAAUACAAGAGAACCAAACACACACGAAAAUACAGAAUGUGAAUAACUAAGCACGUGAAAGAAUGUAGCGUGCAUGAAAGAGCUGGUGUAUGCAUUAUUUUUUCCGUAAUAAGUGGUCAUAGAACUAAGCACGUGACAGAAUAUAGCGUGCAUGAUGAUGUAUAAAACUCGUUACACGUAAGAUUUUUUAUGAUUAAAGAUAAAAUGGACACUUGCCCAGAAACUGAAGGAUAAUAUCGUUUUUAACUCAUGUGAGGGAUAACCCAACAAGUUUAUUAGCAUUUACUCAUAAGAUGUUCUGGCCUUUCAAUCAAAUAACAAUAUCUCGUGGAUUGUGGAACAGUCUUCUGAAUUGUAAUUAAUAGAUAAUAUAAUCCAAUAUAAGAAUUCCAUAAUGCUGAAAAAAGUCAUUUUCAUUCACAAAACUGUCUAAGAAACCCUCAGAAUAGCAACUUUUAAGACUCAACAGCCUUCCUGGUCAAAAGGCUCACCCUAAGUAAUUGGGCGACACGUGUUAUGGUCCAAAACCAUGACCAGGAUGAAAUGUGUGCAUGACAUCACACAUGUCGAGCAUUCAGCUGGUCUAAAAUCGUAUAUAAACCAUACCCAAUUGUGAUCAGCAAAUCAAAUUUGAGUUAUAACAACUUCAUCUGAAUUUCAAGUGUUUUCAAGAAAACAAAGUAAGAAGAAAAUGGCUGACAACUCUCAAAAGAUGAGCUACCACGCUGGAGAGGCCAAGGGCCAAGCUCAGGUAAUUAGCUCACCUGUAAAUUGUAAUUUUCCAUUUGUUUUUGCUUCUUUCUUCUGUUUUUUUAUAGAUUAAUGUGGGAUGUUUUGUAUUGGAUAAUUUUGGAUUUAACAGGAGAAGGCCGGUGGGAUGAUGGAUAAGGCUAACAAUGCAGCCCAAUCUACCAAGGAGACAAUGCAAGAUGUUGGUCAAAAUGUGCAGGCGAAGGCUCAAGGGGCUGCUGAUGCAGUCAAGAAUGCCACUGGCAUGAACAAAUGAAGCUGCUCAUGAUGAUCAUUUUCAUGACUUUUAAUGACUUUGUAGAGUUAAGAUGAUGGCAAAAUUUCAUUGAGUUUUAUAGACUUUUAUGUAAUUUUUUUUUUCUUUCUUACCCUUCUUUAGAAAGAAAGAAUUUAAAAUUACAUAGAAUUCCAAAAUGAUGGAAUUUAGAUCUCCAUCAUUUUAAGUUACGGCAAUUAAUAAUUUCAGUAUUUGGAUUUAUGUAUAUCGAAUUUUACAAAUAAAAUUUCACGGAAAAACGAAUUCCUUCACUCAAUAGAAAUUGCGAAAUGACGUCUCUUUUUAUUGAAAUUAAACCCAGAAAUCUUGAGUGCUUGACUUUUGUGCUAAAAUAGCCAAACAGUGAAAGUAUUAAAUUCUACUCUUCAAUUCUUUACUUUUAGCUAAAUAAUUAACGUAGGGUAAUAGCAGUAUGUAGUAUGACCAAAAGAAAACGAAUUCUAAUAUUAUCUUUUGAUCAUGAUGAAUUAACUCUUGAGAUCUAUAUAACCAAAAUAAUUAUUCAUGUAGAGAUUGAUGAAUAUCAAUUAUGAAUUCGUUGGGUUUGAGACAAUUUCAUCUCUUAUUUCUAAAGGUCUCAUUCUCGGCCUGGGUGCCUUAGAGCUUUUUGAAAUAUCCACCAGUUGACCAAACACAUUAAAAUGCACUCAAGUCAAGAAACAAGACUCGUAAAUCAGAAAUACAAGAGAACCAAACACGCACAAAAAUACAUAAUGUGAAUGAACUUGGGGUAAUUAUCAAGUAGAAAAUUUUAUAUAAAGCCGGUGUAUGCCUUAUUUUCCUCGUAAUAAGUGUUCACAUAACUAAGCACGUGAAAGAAUGUAGCGUGCAUGAAAGAGUUGGUAUAUGCAUUAUUUUUCUCGUAAUAAGUGGUCACAUAACUAAGCACGUAAAAGAACAUAGCGUGCAUGAUAAUGUAUAAAACUCAUUACACGUAAGAUUUUUUGUGGUUAAAGAUAAAACACUUGUCCAGAAACUUUGGGACAAUAUCGCUUUUAACUCAUGUGGAGGUUAACCCAACAAGUUUAUUAGCAUUUACUCAUUAAUUAGAUGUUCUGGCCUUUCAAUCAAAUAAUAAUAUCUUGUGGCUUAUGGAACAAUCUUGUGAAUUGUAAUUAAUUGAUAAUAUAAUCCAAUAUUACAAUAAUUCCAUAAUGCUGAAAAAAGUAAUUUCCAUUCAAAAAACUGUCUAAGAAACCCUCAGAAUAGCAACUUGGAAGACUCAACAGCCUUCCUGGUCAGAAGGCUCACCCUAAGUUAUAGGGCGACACGUUUUAUGGUCCAAAACCAUGACCUGGAUGAAAUGUGUGCCUGGCAUCACACAUGUCGAGCAUUCAGCUGGUCUAAAAUCGUAUAUAAACCAUACCCAAUUGUGAGAUAUUCAUCAUUAGCAAACCAAAUUUGAGGUAUAAAAACAUCAUCUGAAUUUCAAGUGUUUUCAAGAAAACAAAGCAAGAAGAAAAUGGCUGACAACUCUCAGAAGAUGAGCUACCACGCUGGUGAGGCCAAGGGCCAAGCUCAGGUAAUUAGCUCAUGUGUAAUUCUCCAUUUGUUUUUACUUAUUUCUUCUACUUUCUUUUAAAUAUUACAUUAUUAUAUGUGAAUGUGCAUUGAGAUUGAUGUGGGGUGUUUUGUAUUGGAUACUUUUGGAUUUAACAGGAGAAGGCUAGUGGGAUGAUGGAUAAAGCUAACAAUGCAGCCCAAUCUACCAAGGAGACAAUGCAAGAUGUUGGUCAGAAUGUGCAUGCGAAGGCUCAAGGAGCUGCUGAUGCAGUCAAGAAUGCAACUGGCAUGAACAAAUGAAGCUGCUCAUGAUGAUCAUUUUCAUGACUUUUAAUGACUUUAUAGAGUUAAGAUGAUGACAAACUUUGUUUGAGUUUUAUAGACUUUUAUGUAAUUUUUUUUUCUUUCUUACUCUUCUUUUGAACGAAGGAACUGAAAAUUGCAUAGAAUUCUAAAAUGAUUGAAUUUAGAUCCCCAUCGUUUUCAUUUAUGGUAAUUAAUAAUUUUAGUAUUCGGAUUUAUGUAUGUUAAAUUUUGUAAAUGACAUAAAUUUUAGGGGAAAACGAAUUCUAAUAUCUUUUGAUCACGAUGAAUUAACUCAUGAGAUCUAUAUAACCAAAAUAAUUAUUCAUGUAGAGAUUGAUGAAUAAUAUCAAUUACGACUCUUGAGAUUGGGGCCCAAUUCGUUGGGUUUGAGACUUUUUCAUCUUUUAUUUCUAAAGACAUCGUUUUGGGCUUGGGUGCCUUAGUGCUUUUUGAAAUAUCCACAAGUUUACUAAACACAUUAAUGACAUGUUUAUUAAUCCGUAAUUAGAUUAGGAGCAAUUGAAUUGAUGAUGAAUUGAAUUGGGAAGGAGUUAGAUUGAGGAGAAUUAGAUUUCGGAUUCCUAUUGAAGUUCUUUACUAAACCGUAUGGAUUGAGGAGAAUUAAAUUCCGGAUUUCUAUUGAAGUUGUUUACUAAAUCAUAUGGAAUUGAGGUAAUAGUGGUACUAAUUACUAAAAUGACCUCGUUGUUUGGUUAAAGUAGAUGGCAAAUUUGAAAUUUUGAAAAUUGAGGAUAUAAUGGGUAACAAAGAUGAAUUCCUAAUAGAUUAGUUCUCCAGGAAUUAGAAUACCACUUCCCACCGAAGAAUUGAGUUUCUCCAAAAUUAGGAAUUCAAUUCCUAAUUUUAUAUGGCCCCACUUACUUUUUAAUUCUUUGAUGUGAAAUAAACACAGGAAUUCUCCAUAGGUGGAAUUCAAUUCUUGAUUAGUAAAAACACAAUAAAAUGCACUCAGGUCAAGAAACAGAACUCCGAAAAUCAGAGAUACAAGAGAACCAAACCAACACAAAAAUACAAAAUGUGAAUGAACUUGGGGAAACUAUCAAAUAGAAAAUUUUAUAUAGAGCUGGUGUAUGCAUUAUUUUUCUCGUAAUAAGUAUUCACAUAACCAAGCACGUGAAAGAAUGUAACGUGCAUGAAAGAGUUGGUGUAUGCAUUAUUUUUCUCGUAGUAAGUGGUCAAAUAACUAAGCACUUAAAAGAAUAUAGCGUGCAUGAUAAUGUAUAAAACUCAUUACAAGUAAGAUUUUUUGCGGUUAAAAGUAAAAUGCAUACUUGUCCAUAAACUUAGGGACAAUAUCGCUUUUAACUCAUGUGGAGGAUAACCCAACAAGUUUAUUAGCAUUUACUCAUAAGAUGUUUUGGUCUUUCUAUCAAAUAACAAUAUCUUGUGAGUCUUGCGAAUUAUAAUUAAUUGAUAAUGUAUUUUUAGGCGUAGUAAUUAAGGAAAUAUAAUCCAAUAUUAUAAGAAUUCCAUAAUACUGAAAAAAGUAAUUUCCAUAUUCAAAACUGUCUGAACCCUAAGAAUAGCAACUGUAGAUGAAGAUAAGACUCAACAGCCUUGUCCUGGUCCGAAAGGCUCAUCCCAAGUUAUAAGGCGACACGUGUUAUGGUCCAAAGCCAUGAAAUGUGUGAAUAGCUUCCGCAUGGCAUCACACGUGUCGAGCAUUCAGCUGGUUGAAAAUUCUAUAUAAACCCUACCCAAAUGUGAAAUAUUCAUCAUCAGCAAAUCAAAUUCGUGUUAUAAAAACUACAUCUGAAUUUCAAGUGCUUUCCUCCAGUUUCCAAGAAAACAAAGCAAGAAAAAAAUGGCUUCCAACUCUGAGAAGGUGAGCUACCACGCUGGUGAGGCCAAGGGCCAAGCUCAGGUAAUUUUCUUCACCUAUUAUUCUCCAUUUGUUCCUGCAUUUUUUGUUGUUGAAUAUUACAUAAUUUAUGCUGAAUGUGCAUUGAGAUUGAUGUAAUUUUUCAUUUAACAGGAGAAGGCGAGUGGGGUGAUGGAUAUGGCAAACAAUGCAGCCCAAUCUGCCAAGGAAACAAUGCAAGCGGCAGGCCAGAAUGUGCAGGCCACGGCUAUAGGAGCUGCUGAUGCAGUCAAGAAUGCCACUGGCAUGAACAAAAAAUGAAGCUAGCUGCUCAUCAUGAUCUCAAUAUGAGCAUUUGCAGUUUUUUUUUCUUUUUUUUGGGAGCUUUCUAGUAGUUGCUUUUGAUUUCUGUCUUCUAAACAAGGGAGCUCUAAGUCCUCUGGAGUUCUCAUCAUCUGGGUGUGUACUUUCGUUCACACUUGGUUUUAGUUUUUGUUUUCUUUUUCUUUUUGUUCAUGUUUAUCUCCUUUGAACAAGGAAAGUGGGCUCUGCCUAUUGUAGUUCUCACCUAAUUGAAUCAUAUGCUGUUUUUAAUCCCAUCUAUAUGUUCAAGAUUGGUCCUUUGUUUAUGCAGAUGAGCAAAAUCCGACCUAAGAGUUUCUGAAAAUAAAAAACAUAAAAAAAAGAAGAUAUAAAUUAAUUAAGCAAGUGCGACAACUCAUAAUUAAGAGAAGCUACUUUUGCAUCUGAUAGAAUUUUAUUGAUAAUGCGGGAUGAAAAUAAGUAAAAAAAUUAAGCUAUGUCUAAAUAAUUAGGUGAGCAUCUCUACACAUAAUGACGUAGUGGUCGUCGAACUAUCUAGAUAGUCUAUCUUCUCAACCUUCUCUCGUCGGACUACCUAUAGAUAGCCUCUCGUCGGACUACCUAGGUAGCCUACCUUCUCAACCUUCUCAACUACAAACGAAAAAAAUAAAAACCUUGCCACCGUUAGAGCGGCCCCAUCUCUCUAAGAUUAGCUACUUAACUAUAGAACAAUAUCGUGACUAUGUAGCUAAGUAGCUUUCCCACAUCAAAGAAAUUUCUGUGACCUUCUUCCGUGAAAUUAAAGUACCAUAAUUUGUUGAAAAUUAAAGCACUUUUGUCGAGAAAUAUCUAGAAAAAUCUAGAUAAGAUCACCGACCAAGCUAAAGUCUACAUAUGCCAGAACUGUCAUAUGAAAUAUCCAAUAUGGUACUAUUAGAUUGAUAAUACGAUAAAAACUAGUGGAGACCACAAAGUUGUGGUUAGGAAUGUAGCAGCAGCUCGGCUGAAAAUGUGUGGUUAGGAACAAAACAAGCCCAAGUGGGUGGAGCUUCAGCAUGUCGGCUGCUGUCAUCUGUAAAUGAAUUUGGUAUGUUUAUUUUAAAAUAAAUUAAUCCAUAAUUACAUUAAAUUACCUUUAUUAGUGGGAGUUAAAUUUCCAUUAAUAUGACUCAACUGCUUUAUGCUUGUGUCCAUUAACGUCUUUCUUGGUGGUAUACUAUGUGUAUAUGUUAGUUAUAGCUUGAAAAAGAAAAAGAGAGAAGCCACAGCCUUCUUCCUCUUAUGAUAAAAUUUGGGUUACUAACAAUACAUUUACAUUAAUUACUCUCUCUUGUAGAAAUGUGAUAUUAAUUUAUUGAUUGCAAUCAUUAAUAAAAUUUAGAGGAUUGACGGUAAUGACAAUAUGUAUAAAUGUUUUAAAAACAGUGGCCAAGGUUUUGUGUACUUGGUAGGCUUGUUAAGUUGCUGGACCCAAUUCUACAUCAAAAGAGAGGUGGAGUGCAUUUAUAGUGCAAACUCAAAAUUGGACCUAUAUCAAAAGACUCAUUCUUUUAAUUUAUGUAUUGAGAUUUCUAAGCAACAUAGUUAGAAAGGUGUUUGUUACCUUUUCUAAACUGCUUGCAUAAAUUGGGCGUAGAGCCGCGAAACGUCUGAAAGAGAACGACUUCGUACGUGACUCAUCCCAAGAAUCGUUCCAAACUACAUACUAAAUUUUUCGUGUAAUAUUGUUCUCUUAUUUUAAUUUGUUCAUCAACAAUUUAAAGACCUUUUCAUCUGCCAUUGAUGUGAAUAAUAAGGCUUAUAGAUUCUAUGACCAAAAGAACCAUGUUGUACUUGAAUCUAAAUGAUGUUUAAAAAAAAAGAAGAUAAAUUCUCAUAUAAAUUGAGAAAUUGUGGGGACUCAAGUUCUAGUAAUACAUCUUUCCCAUAAAUCAUGAACCUAGAUGUAUAGAACAUUUUUAACCAACUUAGAACCAAGGAAGAGUAAGAAAACGAAUUGCCAAGGAUUUUGGACCUAAUUUUCAUGUUCAUACCUUAGAGCAAGGAUUUUGGACCUAACUUUCACACUUGGUUUUUGUUUUUGUUCAUGUUAUCUCCUUUGAACAAGGAAAGUGGGCUCUGCCUAUUGUAGUUCUCACCUAAUUGAAGCAUAAUCUUUUUUCAUGUGCUGGUGUUAGAAUUAUCUUCAUCCUUUACUUCGAUUUAAUCCCAUCUAUAUAUUCAACUAGACAACGAUAGAAUCGUGACUGAAAAACUGCCGCUGAUGCCUUGCAAGAGACGAUGGUCACGUAUACGACGAUUAUGUGUCACAUAAGAGGACUGCACUGUGUCUAGAAAAAUCUAGAUAAGAUACCGACCAAGCUAAAGUCUACAUAUGCCAGAACAGUCAUAUAAAGUAUCUCGGCUGAAAAUAUGUGGUUAGGAACAAACAAGCCCAAGUGGGUGGAGCUUGGGCAUGUCGGCUGCUGUCAUUUGUAAAUGAAUUUGGUAUGUUUAUUUUAAAAUAAAUUAAUCAAUAAUUACAUUAAAUUACCUUUAUUAGUGGGAGUUAAAUUUCCAUUAAUAUGACUCAACUGCUUUAUGCUGGUUUUAAGUCUAUUAACGUCUUUCUUGGUGGUAUAUUAUGUAUAUAUAUAUUAUUAGCUAUAGCUUGAAAAAGAAAAGAGAUAGAAAAGCCACAGCCUUCUUCCUCUUCAUCCCUAUGAAUUCUCUCCUUCUUUUACUUUAUGUAUUGAGAUUUCUAAGCAACAUAGUCAAAAAGGUAUUUGUUAUCUUUUCUAAACUAUUUACACAAAUUGGCGCAAAGUCGUGAAACGUCUUAAAGAGAUCGACGUAAUACGCAACUCAUCCUAAGAAUCGUUCCAAGCUCCAUAUUGUAUUUUUCGUAUAAUAUUGUUCUCUUAUUUUAAUUUGUGCAUCAACAAUUUUAAGAGGUUUUUAUUUGCCAUGGAUGUUAAUAAUAAGGCUUAUAGAUUCUCUGACUUAAAGAACCAUGUUGUAAUUGAAUCUAAUGAUACUGUUUAAAAAAAGAAGAAGAUAAAUUCUCAUUUAAAUUAAGAAAUUGUGGGGACUCAAGUUCUAGUAAUACAUCUUUCCCAUAAAUAAUGAACCUAGAGGUAUAGAACAUUUUUAACCAACUUGGAACCAAGGAAGACUAAGAAAGAACGAAUUAAUUGCCAAGGAUUUGGACCUAAUUUUCAUGUUUAUACCUUAGAGUAGGAUCCCACCACUCUCCAAUCACAUAUAUAUAUAUACAUAUAUAUAUUUUAUAUUCAGAUUUAUUUCGUUAAUUUUUUUUAAUCUUUCAUAUUAUUUACUUAUGGUUUUACAAGAUUUUAUUGUUUUGUAGUUUCGCUAAUAUGCUGCUCCGGUGCUUCCAUUACAAUUUUUUUUUAGAGAACUUCUCCAUCACAUCUGUAAAUGUACAAUCAUACAAUAUUUCAGUGAGUUUUAAUUAGCAUGUGCCUUCUUUAUGUUGUCGGCCACCUAUAUUGGAUACACAUUCAUAUAGAAAAAGUCACCUAUAUUGUCUAAUUUACUGUCAGCUCUGCAUCACUCAAUAAAAAUUAUGUGCAGGUGGGAUCUCUGAGAUCUGGUAUUUAUCAAGAGUUAGAUUCAAUUAUACAAAAGAUCAUUUCUAUUACUCUCUUUUCCAUCAAUAUUUUCUCAACCCAAAAAUUCCAACCAUCACUAGUAAUGUAUGAAUAUGUCAACAUUAAUCAAAUAAUUAAUAACACGUAAACAUCCAAUAUCAAAAACAUUAUAAUAUCAAGCUAUAAUAUAAUAUUCACGAAAUUUAAUUCAAUCAAUUCUUGUAAAGGCCCUAAAAAAUCCAUACCUCAAUUCCAAAGCUAGCUCAAAAUUUAAGAAAACACAAACUAGGCCUAUAUCUCCUCCAAGAAUUUGAUCAUCUCUCUCUUUCUCUCUUUUACUUCCUCUCUCAUUUCUUUUUUGUUUCUUACUCUUAUUUCAAUUCUAGAAGGCCCUAUUUAUACUAGCAUAAGUCGGCAACAACAAAGAUCUCAUUGGAUAAUUGUUUGGCAGCUAAGAAAUGAGAUAUGCAUGGAAGCUAUCUUUAUAUAAUAUAAACUAAUAUUAAUCCUAU
rnacentral:lncRNA from 1 species